CUUUGNGAACUUAUACCUUACUGUUGCCUCGGCGCUAGCUGGUCCUUCGGGGCCCCUCACCCCCGGGUGUUGAGACAGCCCGCCGGCGGCCAACCCAACUCUUGUUUUUACACUGAAACUCUGAGAAUAAAACAUAAAUGAAUCAAAACUUUCAACAACGGAUCUCUUGGUUCUGGCAUCGAUGAAGAACGCAGCGAAAUGCGAUAAGUAAUGUGAAUUGCAGAAUUCAGUGAAUCAUCGAAUCUUUGAACGCACAUUGCGCCCUCUGGUAUUCCGGAGGGCAUGCCUGUUCGAGCGUCAUUUCAACCCUCAAGCCUGGCUUGGUGAUGGGGCACUGCUUCUUACCCAAGGAGCAGGCCCUGAAAUUCAGUGGCGAGCUCGCCAGGACCCCGAGCGCAGUAGUUAAACCCUCGCUCUGGAAGGCCCUGGCGGUGCCCUGCCGUUAAACCCCCAACUUCUGAAAAUUUGACCUCGGAUCAGGUAGGAAUACCCGCUGAACUUAAGCAUAUCAAUAAGNNGGA
rnacentral:rRNA from 1 species